AUCCAACAAAUUAAAGUUUGAAAUCUUUAGAACUAAACAUGGCUUCUUCUUCUUCUUUUUCUUCUAAGUUAAUACUUUUGAUGUGUUUUAUGAUCAGUGCUUUUGGCAUUGCAAUUGCAGCCAAGUUCGAUCAAGAAUUCGACAUCACAUGGGGUGAUGGCAGAGCAAAAAUACUCAACAAUGGCGACCUCCUAACUCUCUCACUUGACAAAAUCUCUGGCUCUGGUUUUCAAUCCAAGAAUGAAUAUCUCUUUGGUAAAAUUGACAUGCAGCUCAAACUUGUCCCUGGAAAUUCUGCGGGAACCGUCACUGCCUACUAUUUGUCAUCACAAGGACCAACACAUGAUGAGAUAGAUUUUGAAUUCUUGGGAAACCUAAGUGGUGAUCCUUAUACUCUCCAUACUAAUGUAUUUAGCCAAGGCAAAGGAAACAGAGAACAACAAUUUCAUCUUUGGUUUGACCCUACUGCUGAUUUCCACACAUAUUCAAUCACUUGGAAUCCACUACGCAUCAUAUUUUAUGUGGACGGAACGCCCAUUAGAGAAUACAAGAAUAGCGAAUCAAUGGGAGUUUCAUAGCCGAAGAACCAAGCAAUGAGGAUUUACUCGAGUCUUUGGAAUGCGGAUGAUUGGGCUACAAGAGGAGGACUUGUCAAGACUGAUUGGAGCCAAGCACCCUUUAGUGCUUCUUACAGAAACUUCAAUGCAAAUGCUUGUCUUCCCAGUUCUCCAUCUUCUUGCAAUUCCAAUACUACAACUUCAACAAGCAAUUCAUGGUUGAAUGAAGAGUUAGAUAACACAAGUCAAGAGAGGCUCAAAUGGGUGCAGAAGAAUUACAUGGUUUAUAAUUACUGCACUGAUUCUAAACGAUUUCCACAAGGAUUUCCAGAAGAUUGUCUUCAGAAUAGCUGAGCAUUUACAGUGAAAUUUUUUGUAUUCUUUUACUUAUGAUCUAUAAAACUAUUAUAUUGAUUCUUUUAUUGUUCUGCACCAACCAGUAGCAGAGGAUUACAAACAUCUUAAUUCUUAGUUUUGUUACUAAGGGAUCGUUUGGUGAAAUUACACCAUGUGUUUACCCCAAGUUUUCUUAGAAAUAUUUGACUAUUUCAAAAAAUAUGAUUUAUUUCCAUAAGUUCUAAAAACUAUUAAAAA